GGUAGCGUUGGGCAUGUGGGAAGCCCAUCCCGUUCGAGGCGGGACGUACCUUCGGGGCUUGCGCGUUCGACUCGCGCCGCUACCGCCA
rnacentral:tRNA from 1 species